GGUUUGUUUUGUGUAAGCCCCGGGCUCCCCGGGGAAGUGUUUGUGAAACUGGGAGACUUGUAGUGCAGAAAAGACAGAUGGAACUCCCUGUUGUACGGUGAAAUGCGUAUAAUAUAUGGAAGAACACCAGUGGCGAAGGCGGCUGUCUGGUCUGCAACAUGACGCUGAGGCUCGAAAGCGUGGGUAGGAACAGGAUUAAUACCCCUGGUAUCCGCCUAAACAAUAUCUUGUUGAGGGUUUCCCCCCUUCCUGGCUACCAUUUUACUCCCCUGGGGAGACACCCCGGUGAAACUCAAAUUGUCGGGGGCCCCCACAACGGGGAGAUGUGUUUUUUUCUAAUACCGAAAAACCUAGGUUUGAGACCUUCUUCACUCUAAAAUAGAUGCUCUCCGGGGAAGCAAUGACGAGGGUGGCGAUUUUCGUCGGCUCGUCGUCGUCAAAGUUGGUGUAAUCCCCCAACAACGCCCCCCUUAUUAUUUUUCCCAUUAUUUGGGCCCCCCUAAACAGCUGUAUGACCCGAGAGGUGGUGACACACCACAACUCA
rnacentral:rRNA from 1 species